GCGGUACUACGGGGCGCAGCAGUGGGGGAUAUUGCACAAUGGGGGAAACCCUGAUGCAGCGACGCCGCGUGGGUGAAGAAGCGCCUCGGCGCGUAAAGCCCUGUCAGCAGGGAAGAAAAUGACGGUACCUGAAGAAGAAGCCCCGGCUAACUACGUGCCAGCAGCCGCGGUAAUACGUAGGGGGCAAGCGUUAUCCGGAUUUACUGGGUGUAAAGGGGGCGCAGACGGCGAUGCAAGCCAGGAGUGAAAGCCCGGGGCCAAACCCCGGGACUGCUCUUGGAACUGCGUGACU
rnacentral:rRNA from 1 species